GUGGUAUUCCUCCGAUCCAUAUUAAUUGUCAAAAUAUUACAUGUAUCUAGACGCUUUUUAGGCAUAGAUACAUCCAUAUUUAGACAAAUUUGAGACAAUUAAUAUGGAUCGGAGGGAGUACUUG
rnacentral:pre_miRNA from 1 species